CCAGAGUUUUCAUUCAAGCUGCAGUGGAAAAGAUACGCCGGCAAUAAAAGGCAUUUAUUCGUUGGUUUCUGGAGGCCUGUUUGUUAUUAACAUGUAAAUUAAAUCAUCACAGAUGUUCCAUUUUUAAUCUGGGGAUGUGAAGUGCAGGGCUAACCGCGGCCCAAACAGCCUGAUUUUAUUACACACACAUUCAUUAGGAACCAGCGGUAUUAUUGGAUAUCAUUUUUCUUUGAUGCAUUUUUUAAACCAAUUAUCGGUAUAAUUUGUUCAUUUCCCUCCCUAUUUGUUUUUCUUGUGCCAUUUGUGUCAGGAUUCUCCAAUCAAGGGCGAUGGCUGCUGCUCCUCGUGGCCUCCCUGUGCUGCUUUUUGCUGGGCACACGGAGCUGCUCCGACCAGAGGAGAGCAGAGGAGGGAAGGAAGAGCUUUGCCAUGCACCGGCAGCAGCAGGCAUGGGUGUGCAGCACUGCAGAAACCUCAUCCCAAGCAGCACUCCGCUGGCAUCGUUAGGAGCAGGGCACUGCCAUCAGCACUGCUGCCUCCAGCUGCUGAGCUCUGCUCCUCAGGAAAACCAGGUGGAGGAAAGAAAUUGCAGCCCCAAAGGGGAGGAGGAUGUUCAGCAGCUCUCCCUGCAGCUCUCUGUGCAUGCUCUCCGUGCAGGCUCUCUGUGCAUGCUGUCCAUGCAGUCUGCCCAUGCAGCACACUCUCCUGCCUCCCCUCCAGGCCACUGUGGUUCACAGCAGCAGAGGAGCCUUGGUAGCCUUGGGAGAAAUUCUUGACAUGCAAACAGUUUCAGACUGCACACAGCCCAACAUUGCUGCAGUGAAUCUGGUCCAGGGGUACUUGUGGUGCAAAAGCCUUAAUGAGAAAAUACUCUUUGCCUCCCCCAUUGCCUGUGGGACAGCUGGCAUGGUGCAGGGCUGGGAAGGAGCAUGGCUGCAAGGAGGCUCCUCCUUUGGGCGGGAGAGUCUUUCUUCCAUUGGGAAACCAUAAAGAAAAGCAUUGCACAAUCUCAGCCUAAUUAGCAACUGCAAUUUUUCUUUUAUUUUUUUUUUUUUUUUGUUUGGUUUGUUCUGAGUUCUGCAAACAAAACUCCCAUCCGAUCUGUGCACGGAGGAAGCACUGCUUCACUCGGAGAGAUCUGCCACAGAGGCACCAAAAACCUCUCUGGAGGAGAGGUAGGAAAACAAUUUGGUCAGCCCCAAAAUGUGUUCGGUGCUGUGGGAGCUGCCCUGUGUGUGCAGACCUCACACCUCAGCACAGACUCGACAGAUCUCUGCUGGGUGCUACAAAAAGCAUUUCCUGGUGGCAACAAAGGAAACCUUGGUGGUUAGACUGAGACAGAAAUGAUGGAUGUGCCAAACAACUGCUCCUUGACCAACGCAACUCACAGACAAAUCAAGACAAUUUAAAUGCAGUUAAAGCCAUUAAUGACAACAGCUGCAAAAGCCAAUGGGAGAAGGGCUGAGGAAACGAGCAGUCAUUUGUACACAAGUGUGAGGUGCUUUGAGAGAGGGUCUAUUAAAAAGUUGCGCAAAGCACAAGGCCCAGAGCAUGCAGCUAAGAAGCCAUGAGGAAUAAUGCUCAGAAGCCAUUGGCUGAAAAUGGACUCUUAACAGCAACAAAAAAUCAGAUAUGAUCCAACGUGUCUGCCGUAGCUGUUUCAGCUUGGUGGAAGGCUGAAGAGGGGGAUUCAAGCCAUGUGCUGGAAGAUGCAGCAGGAGCCAAAGCCAUGAUGGUCUGGAUGGUGUAAUGUUGGAGAGUUGUCUUAAUCUGAGCGAAAACAAGCUUUGCGGGACUGCGAAGUACAUAAAUAUUUAAUUUUAACCUGGAAUAAUUUUCUAAAGUGAAAAGACAGCUUUUCUGCCCAAAGAAACCAACAUUUCAUCCUGGCACGAUGCUCCUGCGAACACAGGCAUUUUGCUGAAAAACAGGUAAAUUGCUGCUGGGAUGGAAUUCACAGGGAUCCUUGCAAAAACAACAGAAAGCAGACAAAACCAAAACAACGACCCAGAAGCUGAAGAAAACG
ensembl:lncRNA